UACCAGAGUCGUCACUUGGUCCAGGAC
rnacentral:sRNA from 1 species